ACGAUAGCUAAGACCCAAACUGGGAUUAGAUACCCCACUAUGCUUAGCCCUAAACCUAGAUAGUUAACCCAAACAAAACUAUCCGCCAGAGAACUACUAGCAACAGCUUAAAACUCAAAGGACUUGGCGGUGCUUUAUAUCCCUCUAGAGGAGCCUGUUCCAUAAUCGAUAAACCCCGAUAAACCUCACCAUCUCUUGCUAAUUCAGCCUAUAUACCGCCAUCUUCAGCAAACCCUAAAAAGGAAGAAAAGUAAGCACAAGUAUCUUAACAUAAAAAAGUUAGGUCAAGGUGUAGCCCAUGAGAUGGGGAAGUAAUGGGCUACAUUUUCUACAACUAGAACAUCCACGAAAAUCCUUAUGAAAUUAAGUAUUAAAGGAGGAUUUAGUAGUAAAUUCGAGAAUAGAGAGCUCGAUUGAAUCGGGCCAUGAAGCACGCACACACCGCCCGUCACCCUCCUCAAGUGAUUAGACCCCAAAGAAACCUAUUCAAACCACUA
rnacentral:rRNA from 1 species